CCUACGGGAGGCAGCAGUGGGGAAUAUUGCACAAUGGGCGCGAGCCUGAUGCAGCCAUGCCGCGUGUAUGAAGAAGGCCUUCGGGUUGUAAAGUACUUUCAGCGGGGAGGAAGGUGUUGUGGUUAAUAACCGCAGCAAUUGACGUUACCCGCAGAAGAAGCACCGGCUAACUCCGUGCCAGCAGCCGCGGUAAU
rnacentral:rRNA from 1 species